rnacentral:rRNA from 1 species
GACAGAGGGGGCAAGCGUUGCUCGGAAUUACUGGGCGUAAAGCGCACGUAGGCGGAUUGUUAAGUCGGGGGUGAAAUCCCGGGGCUCAACCCCGGAACUGCCUUCGAUACUGGCAAUCUCGAGUCCGGAAGGGGUGAGUGGAAUUCCGAGUGUAGAGGUGAAAUUCGUAGAUAUUCGGAGGAACACCAGUGGCGAAGGCGGCUCACUGGUCCGGUACUGACGCUGAGGUGCGAAAGCGUGGGGAGCAAACAGG